CAGCAGCCACGGUAAUACGAAGGGUGCAAGCGUUACUCGGAAUUACUGGGCGUAAAGCGUGCGUAGGUGGUGGUUUAAGUCCGUUGUGAAAGCCCUGGGCUCAACCUGGGAAUUGCAGUGGAUACUGGGUCACUAGAGUGUGGUAGAGGAUAGUGGAAUUUCCGGUGUAGCAGUGAAAUGCGUAGAGAUCGGAAGGAACAUCUGUGGCGAAGGCGACUAUCUGGGCCAACACUGACACUGAGGCACGAAAGCGUGGGGAGCAAACAGGAUUAGAUACCCGCGUAGUCCCUGUCUCUUAUAU
rnacentral:rRNA from 1 species